GGCAUUACUAUCAGCCAGGCUGUUGAGGCUACUAGAAAUGUCCCUGCGCCGGAAAAGACAGACAACCUUUGCCUCCACAUUUCCAUUUGCAGUCUAAGGGGAGGAAAAAAACAAAAACAAAACAACGUAGCAGUGGAAAUUGAUCAUCUGGGAACAGAAAUGCACAAAGAGACAAAUAACAAAGUUAGAAACCUCAGAAGAGACCACUGCGGGAGGGAGGGAGAGGGAUUCUGCUCCACUCACCUUGUUGAGCUCCUCAAUCCGUCUAACCAGGUAAGGAUUGCUGGAAGAGUUCUCAAAAUAGACGUAAUCUGUAAGGGAAGGGAGGGGGGAGAACCACGAAGAUCAGAGGAGAUGGGAGACGCAGAGCACCAGGGUAGGAGAGAAAGUUGGCCUGAGUGGAUCAAAAGGAGAUAAGGAUUCAGGUAGAAAGGGCGCUGAGAUGUGAAAGUGGACAGACUAAGAGAAAAUAAGGAUGUCCCCCAUCCCCACCGCACCUAGUUCUAAAAUUAGAUCCUUUACUCAAAAGAGAGCCUUAAGGAACAGGCAAGAAGCAGGGGUUCCCCUGCAGUCCCCACAACUCAGCGAUGAGUUGCACCCCAGUCGCGGCGAAGUAAUUGUCCGCUCUAGCGCAGGGCCCCUACCUUUUCGAAUCGAGGC
rnacentral:lncRNA from 1 species